GGUGACAGAGCGAGACUCAAUCUCCAAAAAAAAAAAAAAGUGAUAUAAUAAACUUGCAAAAAUACAAGUGCUCACUUAAUGCCACCAAUAGGUUCUUGAAAACUGCAACUUUAAGUGAAGCAAUGUAUAAUUUAAACCAAUUUUUACCAUAGAGUAAUUGAUAUAAAUAAGAAUUAGGUUCCUAUGGCAUAUUUCUGGUCACAAAAACAUCAAAUGUCUAAGUAAAGACUCAAAACUCUUUUAAUAUUAAAGAUUGAAAUAAAUGUGAGCUAUAUACACAUUUAAGAAAAAUUAACAAAAAUAAGUAGGACAAUUAAUUAUCCAAUUUUUGCUGCAUCCGUGAGUGAUGGUAGUCAUCGUGGUGGAGGUGAAAUCACGGAAUAAAUGUUUGCAAAGGGACAAUUGUAAAGAUCACCUCCUACCACAAUGCAGUUCAAAAAUAAACAAUAACAAAUAUGGCAGGUUCACUGAGCACUUUCACACUGCAUUGCUUAUUGUCCUAUAUUUCUGUAGUUAUUGUAUUUAAUAAAUUUAUAUGUUGCAAUAAUAUAUAUUCAUUCAUUCAUUCAUUCAUUCUCCAACUCGCUUACUCCAGUUCAGGGUCAUGGGUGGCUAGAGCCUACCCUUGAAGCUAAGCAGGAACCAACCCUGGACAGCAUGCCAUUCCAUUGCAGGGCACACUCACACCACCCACACUCAACUCAGACCAGGACAAUUUAGACACGCCAUGAACUUAACACUUACAGCUUUGGGAUGUAGAAUCCAGAGAACCCAGAGAAAACCUGUGCAGAUACAGGGAGAAUGUGCCAACUCCACACAGACAGUGGCCCUCACUGGGAAUCAAUUUUUCUUAUCAAUGUUAUAACAAAAUGACACUGAACAAAACAUCAUUAUUCAAGAACCUGCUGUACAUCUCAUGUUUGGCCCCAUAUAUGUAACAGGUCACAAAUCUUGAGAACAGAAAAUGAAUCCUUAUUCAUCUCUGUAACUGACUAUACAGCAGAGCUCUCUAGACAGUUCAGUUUCUUCAUAAAUGUUCAUUCAAUAACAGAAACUUCUGGGAAGAGGAGGCAGAUUUAACCAGCAUAACCAGGAGGGAAAGGACUAUCCUGGAACUCUACAGGACUGACUCCAUGCCUACCUAUACCCCAUUGUCACAGACUGACCUAGACAGCAGAGGAAGGAAGGAAACCGCACCAAUACCAAUUAAAAGUGUUCAUGAUGCAAAGGAAUAACUUUCUCUGUAUUACUUAAAGUCCCAUCAAUGACAGAGAGGAAGAGAUUUGGGGUUGUGAAGACCAAAUAACUUGUAAAUCUAGUCCUAUAAGAUUAAUAUUCCCACAAAAGACUGAUAGCUCCACAAAUCUGUGACUGGUAGUUGUUUUUUUAGUUUGUUUUUAAUCAAAAACCACAUGCUAAUCAGUCAUAUGUAUCAAGAGUAAAACUGCAAUGUAAU